rnacentral:rRNA from 1 species
UACGUAGGUGGCAAGCGUUAUCCGGAUUUACUGGGUGUAAAGGGAGCGUAGACGGCAGGGCAAGUCUGGAGUGAAAGGCGGGGGCUCAACCCCCGGACUGCUCUGGAAACUGCCAGGCUGGAGUGCAGGAGAGGUAAGUGGAAUUCCUAGUGUAGCGGUGAAAUGCGUAGAUAUUAGGAGGAACACCAGUGGCGAAGGCGGCUUACUGGACUGUAACUGACGUUGAGGCUCGAAAGCGUGGGGAGCAAACAGG